CAAAAACAUUGCUUCAUGAAACCCUAUAUGAAGUAAUUCCUGCCCAGUGAUUCAACGGCCGCGGUAUCCUAACCGUGCAAAGGUAGCAUAAUCACUUGCCCAUUAAUUGUGGGCUAGAAUGAACGGAACAACGAAAUAAGAACUGUCUCUUUAGUCACUAUAAAAAUUAAUCUUCAAUUGAAGAACAUUGAAUUAUGUUGAAGGACAAGAAGACCCUAUAGAGCUUAAUUUUAUCAGAUAUAUUAUCUCCAUAAAAUUCGGUUGGGGCGACCAGGGAAGUAACAAAUCAUCCCCUAGAAAAAGAUUAAUAUAUCCCAUUUUUAUUGACCCUUAAUCAAGAUCAUAAGAAUAAGCUACCUUAGGGAUAACAGGCUAAUCCCAUUAGAGAGUCCUUAUUUAUAAUGGGGUUUGGCACCUCGAUGUUGGCUUAGGGAAUCCAUGCGACGCAAAAGUCACAUAAAGAUGGUUUGUUCAACCAAUAAUACCCUACAUGAUCU
rnacentral:rRNA from 1 species